ensembl:lncRNA
CUGCCUUUGACAGAGAACUUGCAACCGUGUCAGUGAAAAUCAUCUCAGAGGCACAGGCUGAAAAUCAGCCCUGACCUCUCAAGAGCAAAGAUCAGCAUCACGUCUUCCGCUACAGCUGGUUUAACGUAACCCCCCAGGAUGAUUCCAAUUCAGAGCGUCCUACAGUGCCUGUGUGUGCGGCUCCACAAGGUUCAAAAACCAGAAUUGCGGAGUCAGUGGUGCACAGAAAGAUGCAGGACAAGACAAUUUUAAAAAGAUACCCCGGAACUGUCUUGAAUUCUCAGCUUCAGCUCGGACACCAAGCACAGCACCUAUGUACAGCUCCGGUCAAUACCAGGAGUUUCAGCGGCAAGACAUCCUCAUUGAACUUCUGUGGGGCAGAUGCUGAACUUGGUAUCUGUAACAGUCAUCCUUCCAAGAUAUCCCCUAACACUCUCCGCCU